rnacentral:rRNA from 1 species
AGCCCCCCUCAAGAUGAGAUUUCCCAUAGCGUCAAGCUAGUAAGAACCCUGAAAGAUGAUCAGGUUGAUAGGUCAGAGGUGGAAGCGUGGUAACAUGUGGAGCUGACUGAUACUAAUCGUUCGAGGACUUAACCAA